rnacentral:tRNA from 1 species
ACCUUCGUGGUGUAGUGGUCAGCACGCUUGACGCGUAUUCGAGAAGUCCAUGGUUCGAGUCCUGGCGAGGGCC